GUUUGCUUGGUGGAAGGCAUUCUGACCAGGAUGAGCUAGAACCUCACUGCAGGUCUGUUUGCAUUUCUUUCAUGGCUAAAUAUGUUGACCACUUGGUCAUAUAUUCUUUAUGUUCAGAGUUAAUGUGGCUAUUUGGAACCUUCUGUGCUUCUGUGUAGAUAUUAUGACCUCUUCCUAUUUUUAUGAGAGAUGUCAUUAUGUUUUGAUGGGAAGUGUAUUAUUUCUGUAGAUCACUUUUGGCAGUAUGGCGGUUUUGCAGUAUUAGUUCUCCCGCCCAUGAUUAUCUUAGGCUUUUCAUCCUGCAGUGACUUCUUCAUUUUCUCUCAGUGUCCUAGAAUUUUCAUGUGUCUUUUAUCUGCCUGAUUAUAUUCAUUCUUAGGUUUUUUAGGCUUCUGUAAAUAGGAUUGCUUUCCCGGUUUCUUUCUCAGCAUGCUCAGCAUUGGCAUAUAGCAAAGGCAUUGAGUUUUGUGUGUUGACUUUAGAUUCUUUUACUUUGCUGAAAGUAGUAACUGAAAGUCCAGAGUUUUCUGGUGGAGUCUUCAGAGACUUUCAGUGUGGUACACUUGACAGGCAACUGGGGAUAACUUGAUUGCAUCCUUUCUGAUUUGCAUUAUCACCUCUGUCUCUUCCUUUUGCUUUAUUGUUUUGUCUAAAAAUGUAACACCUAUGCUGACUAAAAAUGGUAAUGGUAGACCUCUUCUCUUGUUUUGAAUUAAGAACUUUAAUUUUUCUUCUUCAUUUAGUAUAAUGCUGGUUAUAGGUCUGGGAUAUAUGGCUUUUAUGAUAUUGACAUUUGAUAUUUCUGCUCCUGUAUCUUUCAGGGAUUUUUUUUUUUUUAAUCAUUAAAAGCUGUGGAAGUGAACUGGGUAGUAGUGGUCCAUGCUUUUAAUCCCAGCACUUAGGAGUCUGUAGAGGCAGGCGGAUCCUGAGUUCGAGGACAUCUGCUCUACAGAGCCCUUCCUGGACAGGGCUACACAGAAAAGCCUGUGUGGUUGGAGGAUGACCGUGAAAUCACUUUUUUCUGUAUUUAGAAGAUGAUUGUAUGAAUUUUUUUGCCCUGACUUUGUUUAUAUGUCUAAUAUGUUUAUGAUUUGUAUAUGUUGAAGCAGCCUUACGUCCCUUGAAUAAAAUCACUUUUUUCUUUAAA
rnacentral:lncRNA from 1 species